GUGAUAUGGUACUAUUUACUAAAUCCAUUUUACAGAUGGGGAAACUGAGACUUAGAGAAGUUAGGCAAGUUGGAUAAGGUGACAUAUACAGUAAGUGGCAGAGCCAGGAUUCACACAGCUCUGCCUAGCUGGGAAGUGUAGGUCCUUUCUGUUAGCCCCCUCUCCACACAUACACACAUAGAAUCUUGUAUCCUAUCAACUUUGAGCAUUGCUGGACUUAGCUUUGUAAAUCCAAUGACAUGAAUGAAAUUCAGGCUUUGGGGGAGGUUCUUUUCUUUCUGUCCUAUGCCCAACAUUUGUUUUGCACUUUUGACAUUUGAAAAGAAAUUCUAUGUUGCUAGUGCUCAUGAAUGUGCCCAGGGCACUUGAGUGUUUCUACUAGGGUGGAAGAUCUUCUCCCAGACUAAAUUCUUUCCCCAUGGGCUCCAGGGACUGCAGAUAAGGCUUCCCACUGGAUCUGCCUGAAGCAGUCUGUGACUUUGGGAGCCAGAGACUUUUGACCUGGUUCCAGCUCCAAGCUGGAGGGGUGUCAUGAAAUCACAUGACAUUUGGACUAAAAGGGCAAGCUGAAGAAUGUCUCUCUCAUGCUGUCCUGACUUGUGAAUCUAAGCAGCGAGCAAAUGUACCCCUCCAAGGAGCAACUAUAAUCCACUGGAUAUGCCAAAGAACAGAAGAAAAGGUGACUGGAAUGCAAAAGUAGGAAGUCAAGAAACACCUGGAGUAACAGGCAAAUUUGGCCUUGGAAUACGGAAUGAAGCAGGGCAAAGACUAAUAGAGUUUUGCCAAGAGAACACACUGGUCAUAGCAAACACCCUCUUCUAACAACACAAGAGAAGACUCUACACAUGGACAUCACCAGAUGGUCAACACCAAAAUCAGACUGAUUAUAUUCUUUGCAGCCAAAGAUGGAGAAGCUCUAUACAGUCAGUAAAAAUAAGACCAGGAGCUGACUGUGGCUCAGAUCAUGAACUCCUUAUUACCAAAUUCAGACUUUAAUUGAAGAAAGUAGGGAAAACCACUAGACCAUUCAGGUAUGACCUAAACAAAUCCCUUAUGAUUAUACAGUAGAAGUGAGAAAUAGAUUUAAGGGCCUAGAUCUGAUAGAGUACCUGAUGAACUAUGGAAUGAGAUUCGUGACAUUGUACAGGAGACAGGGAUCAAGACCAUUCCCAUGGAAAAGAAAUGCAAAAAAGCAAAAUGGCUGUCUGGGGACGCCUUACAAAUAGCUGUGAAAAGAAGAGAAGCGAAAAGCAAAGGAGAAAAGGAAAGAUAUAAGCAUCUGAAUGCAGAGUUCCAAAGAAUAGCAAGAAGAGAUAAGAAAGCCUUCCUCAGCAAUCAAUGCAAAGAAAUAGAGGAAAACAACAGAAUGGGAAAGACUAGAGAUCUCUUCAAGAAAAUCAGAGAUAUCAAGGGAACAUUUCAUGCAAAGAUGGGCUCGAUAAAGGACAGAAAUUGUAUGGACCUAACAGAAGCAGAAGAUAUCAAGAAGAGGUGGCAAGAAUACACAGAAGAACUGUAGAAAAAAGAUCUUCAUGUAUGCACUAAUAUAUCAUUGUGGUUUUAAUUUGUAUUUCCUUAAUAGCUAAUGGUUCUGGGUAGCUUUUCAUGUGCUUAUUUGACAUUUGUAUGUCCAUCCUCUCUACUGAAAUAUCUGCUCAAGUCUUUUGCACAUUUCCAAUUAAAUUUUUUAAAAAUUUAUUUAUAUUUGACUGUGCUGGAUCUUCACUGUUGCACGGGCUUUCCGUAGUUGUAGCCAGCAGGGGUAUUUUUCAAUGUGGUAUGCAUGCUUCUCAUUGUGGUGGCUUCUCCUGUUGCAGAGCAUGGGCUCUAGAGUGCAAGUUCAGUAGUUAUGGAACAUGGACUUUGUUGCCCCGUGACAUGCGGGAUCUUCCUGGACCAAGUAUUAAACCUGUGUCCCCUGCUUUGGC
ensembl:lncRNA